AGUCACCCCCGGCCAGUUCAGCAGCCCCAGGCCGCCUGGCGCCCGGCGGGUCCGGGUCGAGGAGGCCCUGCCCGACCCACUGUUCGGAUCUGUGGCGCCGACUCUCAGGUGCGCUGCGCCGGGUCUGGCGAGAUCUCGAGGACAGGACCGGCCUGGAGGGAAGCUCACCCGUCCCGCAGCGCCUCGGAUUAGAAGACUCUCGCUGAAACCCCAGAGCCGCCGCCGCGCCGCGGAUGACAACACCACUCGAGCCGCCGCAGCCGCCAUUUCUGCUAGAAGGAAGGUAGAG
rnacentral:lncRNA from 1 species